UUCCGAGAAGUGGAUUAAAAUUGCAACU
rnacentral:piRNA from 1 species